GAAUUCGCCCUUAGAGUUUGAUCCUGGCUCAGGACGAACGCUGGCGGCGCGCCUAACACAUGCAAGUCGAACGAGCGAGAGGAGGUUUACUUUCUCAAGCGAGUGGCGAACGGGUGAGUAACGCGUGAGGAACCUGCCUCAAAGAGGGGGACAACAGUUGGAAACGACUGCUAAUACCGCAUAAGCCCACGACCCGGCAUCGGGUAGAGGGAAAAGGAGCAAUCCGCUUUGAGAUGGCCUCGCGUCCGAUUAGCUAGUUGGUGAGGUAAUGGCCCACCAAGGCGACGAUCGGUAGCCGGACUGAGAGGUUGAACGGCCACAUUGGGACUGAGACACGGCCCAGACUCCUACGGGAGGCAGCAGUGGGGAAUAUUGCACAAUGGGGGAAACCCUGAUGCAGCGACGCCGCGUGGAGGAAGAAGGUCUUCGGAUUGUAAACUCCUGUUGUUGAGGAAGAUAAUGACGGUACUCAACAAGGAAGUGACGGCUAACUACGUGCCAGCAGCCGCGGUAAAACGUAGGUCACAAGCGUUGUCCGGAAUUACUGGGUGUAAAGGGAGCGCAGGCGGGAAGACAAGUUGGAAGUGAAAUCCAUGGGCUCAACCCAUGAACUGCUUUCAAGACUGUUUUUCUUGAGUAGUGCAGAGGUAGGCGGAAUUCCCGGUGUAGCGGGUGAAAUGCGUAGAUAUCGGGAGGAACACCCAGGGGCGAAGGCGGCCUACUGGGCACCAACUGACGCUGAGGCUCGAAAGUGUGGGUAGCAACCAGGGAUUAGAUACCCUGGUAGUCCACACUGGAAACGAUGAUUACUAGGUGUUGGGAGGAUUGACCCCUUCAGUGCCGCAGUUAACACAAUAAGUAAUCCACCUGGGGAGUACGACCGCAAGGUUGAAACUCAAAGGAAUUGACGGGGGCCCGCACAAGCAGUGGAGUAUGUGGUUUAAUUCGACGCAACGCGAAGAACCUUACCAAGUCUUGACAUCCUGCGACGCACAUAGAAAUAUGUGUUUCCUUCGGGACGCAGAGACAGGUGGUGCAUGGUUGUCGUCAGCUCGUGUCGUGAGAUGUUGGGUUAAGUCCCGCAACGAGCGCAACCCUUAUGGUCAGUUACUACGCAAGAGGACUCUGGCCAGACUGCCGUUGACAAAACGGAGGAAGGUGGGGAUGACGUCAAAUCAUCAUGCCCUUUAUGACUUGGGCUACACACGUACUACAAUGGCGUUAAACAAAGAGAAGCAAGACCGCGAGGUGGAGCAAAACUCAGAAACAACGUCCCAGUUCGGACUGCAGGCUGCAACUCGCCUACACGAAGUCGGAAUUGCUAGUAAUCGCAGAUCAGCAUGCUGCGGUGAAUACGUUCCCGGGCCUUGCACUCACCGCCCGUCA
rnacentral:rRNA from 1 species